ensembl:miRNA mir454b microRNA 454b
UAACCACGAUCCACCUUCUAGACGAGACCCUAUCAAUAUUGCCUCUGCUUUUUGUGCAUAUGUGGAGUAGUGCAAUAUUGCUUAUAGGGUCUUGGUUUCGAAGGAAUGUCUUC